rnacentral:tRNA from 1 species
GUCGCGGUGGCGGAACUGGCAGACGCGCAGGAUUUAGGAUCCUGUCCCGAUUACGGGGUGUGAGUUCGACCCUCACCCGCGACA